CGAGUGUGUUGAACAGCUGCGAGCAGCUGCCGAAAGGUACUGUGCGAGGAAAGUCCGGGCUUCACAGAGCAAUAAUAACGGCUAACGGCCGCCGGAGGCGACUCCAGGGAUAGUGCAACAGAAAAUUACCGCCAUUAUAUGGUAAGGAUGGAAAGGUGAGGUAAGAGCUCACCGGAGGGCAGGAGACUGCUCUGCCGUGUAAACCCUAUUUGAAGCAACACCGUGGUAGGACAUU
rnacentral:RNase_P_RNA from 1 species